GAUGAACGCUGGCGGCGUGCCUAAUACAUGCAAGUCGAGCGAACAGACGAGGAGCUUGCUCCUCUGACGUUAGCGGCGGACGGGUGAGUAACACGUGGAUAACCUACCUAUAAGACUGGGAUAACUUCGGGAAACCGGAGCUAAUACCGGAUAACAUGUUGAACCGCAUGGUUCAACAGUGAAAGACGGUUUUGCUGUCACUUAUAGAUGGAUCCGCGUCGCAUUAGCUAGUUGGUAAGGUAACGGCUUACCAAGGCAACGAUGCGUAGCCGACCUGAGAGGGUGAUCGGCCACACUGGAACUGAGACACGGUCCAGACUCCUACGGGAGGCAGCAGUAGGGAAUCUUCCGGAAUGGGCGAAAGCCUGACGGAGCAACGCCGCGUGAGUGAAGAAGGUCUUCGGAUCGUAAAACUCUGUUAUUAGGGAAGAACAAAUGUGUAAGUAACUAUGCACGUCUUGACGGUACCUAAUCAGAAAGCCACGGCUAACUACGUG
rnacentral:rRNA from 1 species